AUUGAACGCUGGCGGCAUGCCUUACACAUGCAAGUCGAACGGUAACGGGUCCUUUGGGAUGCCGACGAGUGGCGAACGGGUGAGUAAUAUAUCGGAACGUGCCCAGUAGUGGGGGAUAACUGCUCGAAAGAGCAGCUAAUACCGCAUACGACCUGAGGGUGAAAGGGGGGGAUCGCAAGACCUCUCGCUAUUGGAGCGGCCGAUAUCAGAGUAGCUCGUUGGUGGGGUAAAGGCCUACCAAGGCAACGAUCUGUAGUUGGUCUGAGAGGACGACAAGCCACACUUGGGCUGAGGAGCGGCACAGACGCCUACGUGAGGCAGCGGGGGAGAAUUUGGGACAAGUGGCGGAAGCCUGAUCCAGCAGUGCCGAGUGCAGGAAGAAGGCGUUCGGGUUGUAAACUGCUUUUGUCAGUGAAGAAAUCUUCUGGGCUAAUACCCCGGGAGGAUGACGGUACCUGAAGAAUAAGCACCGGCUAACUACGUGCCAGCCGCCGCAGUAA
rnacentral:rRNA from 1 species